rnacentral:lncRNA from 1 species
ACCUGCCUGGAGCUCAGUUUUACAUGUCUUCGUCAAACUUCUACCUACUAAGUAGGCUUCCCUUAGAAGGACCCCUAAGUUUUCUUUCAUAAAGCCUUGUGCCUAGAAUAUCUGAAAAAAAUAUGUUAGCCAUCCUCAGAAUUUGGGAAAACCAAGAAAUCAGCAUAUCUUCAGAAAAUUUCUGCUAGCAAGACACAGCAUGUUAAGUAUUGAAGUCAGCAAAGGCCUGUAGAGGAAGAUAUUUGAGUGGCAGAACCAACCAGAAUCUUAUCAGUGGAUGAUGACCAAUGCCUGGCUCAUGAGGCUUCUACAAGAUGCAUUUGAAAUGAUGAUGCAUGUGAAUACUCUCCAAAGACAUUCAUAGGAAGACACAGAGUACAGAAUCCUGCUAGUAAAACACUGGAACAACCCACAGGGCUGAGAGGAUAGCCACAGGCUGUGGGAAGAAUUCAGCCUUAAGCUGCAGGCUUGGAGCCAAGGAGGAAAUGGCAAGAUAUUGAACAAAGGAAAAUGUGAGGUCAACAGCAAAAAUGAUCAUCUGAAUGAGCAUCAAACCAAAGGAACUAGAUAAUCAAAACAAGGAUACAAGUUUAGACUUGCAUCCUAUCCCCGAGAUACCUCACUAUGUGCAUGAAAAUAC